CAAAGGUCUAUAUUGCCAAACAACUCUGUUUUAAAUAUUAUCUUUGCUUCAUAUUCAUACCUGAUAGUCUUCUCUGAGGGUACCAAUCAAAGGUCAAGACCUUUUUCACAACAUCACUGAUCUUCCUUGAAAAUCCAUGGAGAGUGGAUAGAUCAGAUAGUGGAGUGGUAACUGAAGAAAUAAAGAGGAAGUUGCUCAGGACAGAAGAUAAAAACAUGAGACAAAGGAAACAAACUGCUCUUGGAUAGGGUGCUUCUGAGGCUGGGAUUCUUCCCAGGGAAGACCACGCUGCGGAUCUACUGCUGCAUAAGGAGCCAUGCCAAAAGGACCAGAAAAGGCUUUGGAGUUCCUAACUGGUUUGGGACCAGAGACGGGGAGCACUUAACCAGAGGUCCUGGUAAGGAACAAGGAACUAAUAAGCCACCACCAACCAGAAGAGUUCAGGAAAUGUCAAAAGGAGACACCACAUGUCCGACCACCUCCCAGAAUCCUCACUGGCAUCCAUCUUGGCUGAACAAGGUGUGCACCACCAGGAGGGAGUCUUAGUCAGAAUGACUGGAUAAAGACAACCCAGAAACUAAUCCCAUCACCAUAAAACCAAGACUGCAGCCAUGUGGCAGAGCAGUUCUCCUGUGUUCCCUUGCCCUACUGCUCUCCACCCAGGCACCCUUUCCCAAUAAAAUUUCUUGCUUUGUCUGCACAUGUAUCUCCUUUUACAAUUCAUUUCUGAGUGUUAGACAAGAGCCCAGUUUCAG
ensembl:lncRNA